AGUCAGAUGGCUGCUGCAAGGACCAGGACCAGUCAGUGCUUAGAGGAGCUGCCUGUGAGAAACAUUGAGGAGGCAUUAAAUCAGCACAGCUGAGUGGGUCUGAAACAAAUCAAGAGAGCCUUGGCCAGGCCGUCUGUCUGCAGGAGUGGGCAGUGAGGAACAGAUUCACAGAAUUGCCAAACCAUGGAGUGGUUGAAGUUGGAAAGUAACUCCUGGAGGUCAUUUGGUCCAACCCUCUGCUCUUGCAGAGCCACCUGAAGUGGAUUGCUCAGGGUCUUAUGACAACAUCAUGGUCAGGUGUAUCUUCUGACAAUCACUAGCAUUUAUAUUUCCAACCGUGUUUGUUGUAAGUAGUGCUCAGAAUUUUAAACUGCAGCUCAUUACUGCAUUACUUUUUUUAUUUUGUAUCUAUAAAAACCACAUAACCACACUUGGGAACAUUAACAAUAUCUUAUUCUUGCAAUUUAGUAAAUAUCAAGUUAUUGGAUCUUGAAAAAAUGGUUUUAGAUAUUCAACUCUCAAAUGUAAGCUGAAAACUAGAAAAACUAGCUUGAAAUAAGUAAUUGUUUCCUUCUCUCUGGUGGCAGUAAUAGCUUCUGUAAGAUGCCUCCAGGUUACAUUUAAACAACUGCAAUAUAGAUUCUGUCAUUCACCUCAGGAAUAAUUCCUGGAGUUGGUUGUCCCAUGGAAGCAUUUCAGUUCCAGGACAUCUUUUGCCCUCACAGAACUGUGAACAGCUGCUUCAUGUAUUCUCUGAAAAUGUGGACACUCCAAAGAAGUUGAAGUUCAGGCUUGCUGUGCAUAGCAGUAAGAAUAAAGUUAAAAGGCAUAUUGUGAAUUUUGUUACCAAUUGCCUUUGUGGGUUUUUUUUCCAGAGAAAAAAUUGCAAAUACAGAACAAAAAUUUUUUGAGCUCAAGUUGGCACAUGUCCUAAUGGUUUUUCAUGGUAUUGUGAGCAGAACUUAGUGGCAAAGAGAUUUGUCUUUCUCUGAGCUCCCUGCUUUGUUCACAGAUUAUAUAUUGUCAAUGGUGCUUGGAGGAGAGUGGCACUUCAGGUGUGUCUCAACAAGAGGGUCAUAGUUAUUUUCAUUCAUCCACAGCAGCUUUUAAGAGUAAAAGCUCUGUUGGAAUCUUCAGUGUAAACAUACCAAACUGAAUGUGUGUAUUUGCCAACUCCACACUUCUGCCUGUGUAGUUAUUGCUUUUCCCAUAUACAAAAGGUUAGUUGGAAGUCCAACAGCCUUAUUCAAAUAUUUCUGAAAUUAAAUGGAUUCUAGUCUUUGACACAGACUUUGGAUGAUGUUGUGUCAUUUUCCAACUUGAGUAGUAAUGCUUGGACUGCCAUUGAAUUUAUGAGAUGACUAAUGUGCUAUGUAAAAAUAUUGGUAUAAAUCAUUGCUUUCUGACUUUCCUUCCUUGUUAAAUAAAUCCAAUAUUAGGAGAACUCAUAGCUGUA